UACGUAGGGUGCGAGCGUUGUCCGGAAUUAUUGGGCGUAAAGAGCUCGUAGGCGGUUUGUUGCGUCGGCCGUGAAAACCUGCAGCUUAACUGUGGGCCUGCGGCCGAUACGGGCAGACUUGAGUUCGGUAGGGGAGACUGGAAUUCCUGGUGUAGCGGUGAAAUGCGCAGAUAUCAGGAGGAACACCGGUGGCGAAGGCGGCGUCCUGGACCAACACUGACGCUGAGGAGCGAAAGCCAGGGGAGCAAACGGG
rnacentral:rRNA from 1 species